GUUCGUUACAUGACACAAAGCACUAUCUUUUAUAGCAAAUCUGGUCUAACCAGCCUGAUAGACAAGAUUCUGAGCUUUGGAGUGGGAGAAACAGGGGAUUAAAUCUUUGUCCUGUCCCUACUCACUUUCUGGCCAUGGUAAUUUACAAACCCUCUCUGCGUCCUAGGUCUCUUGCCUGCAGGGGGAAGCUGAAAAGCCUCACCCGCAGGUUCCGAAGCACGUUGGGAGGAACAUUCGUGGGAUGUGCCAAGUACGGCCCUUGGCGAGGACUGGGAGAUCCCACAGAGCUCCCUAGCCCCUUGCACUGAAGACAGAGAAAGAAGCAGCUGACUCUGAACCAGGAAGAGGGCCUUCCCCUGAAUCUGACCAUGUUGGCACUUUAAUCUUGAACUUCCCAGCCUCCACAAUGGUGAAAAAUAAAUUUUUGUGGUCUACAUGAUACUUGGUCUGUGACAUUUUGUUAUUGGCAACCCAAAGGGACCAUGA
rnacentral:lncRNA from 1 species